GACGAACGCUGGCGGCGUGCUUAACACAUGCAAGUCGAACGGAAAGGCCCUGCUUGCCGGGUACUCGAGUGGCGAACGGGUGAGUAACACGUGGGUGAUCUGCCCUGCACUUCGGGAUAAGCCUGGGAAACUGGGUCUAAUACCGGAUAGGAGCCAUUUUUAGUGUGAUGGUUGGAAAGUUUUUUCGGUGUAGGAUGAGGUCGCGGCCUAUCAGCUUGUUGGUGGGGUAAUGGCCUACCAAGGCGGCGACGGGUAGCCGGCCUGAGAGGGUGGACGGCCACAUUGGGACUGAGAUACGGCCCAGACUCCUACGGGAGGCAGCAGUGGGGAAUAUUGCACAAUGGGCGCAAGCCUGAUGCAGCGACGCCGCGUGGGGGAUGACGGCCUUCGGGUUGUAAACUCCUUUCGCUAGGGACGAAGCUUUUUGUGACGGUACCUAGAUAAGAAGCACCGGCUAACUACGUG
rnacentral:rRNA from 1 species